CAGUAGCCGCGGGAAUACGUAGGGUGCGAGCGUUAAUCGGAAUUACUGGGCGUAAAGCGUGCGCAGGCGGUUCGUUAAGACAGAUGUGAAAUCCCCGGGCUUAACCUGGGAACUGCAUUUGUGACUGGCGAGCUAGAGUAUGGCAGAGGGGGGUAGAAUUCCACGUGUAGCAGUGAAAUGCGUAGAGAUGUGGAGGAAUACCGAUGGCGAAGGCAGCCCCCUGGGCCAAUACUGACGCUCAUGCACGAAAGCGUGGGGAGCAAACAGGAUUAGAUACCCCAGUAGUCCCUGUCUCUUAUAA
rnacentral:rRNA from 1 species